rnacentral:lncRNA from 1 species
GUUGUUAUCAAAUUCCUUAUUUCAAGAUGUCGAGAAGGACAAAUUCGGGAAUAUUCUCACAUUCAAGAUGCACGACUCGGUGCAUGAUCUAUCUUUGUCUGUGUCAAAGUUUGAUACUUUGUUUUUUCAAGAGAAAUCCAGUCUCACCUCAAAAGAGUGUUCUCAUAUUCGUCAUCUCAAUGUUGGGUGCGAUGGGGAAUCAUUACCAGAAAUUUUAACAGCGGUUGCUCCGAAAUUAUACUCGUUGUUUUCAGAGAUUGAUGUGUUCAAGAAACUAUCAAAAAGCUUCACAAGAUUAAGAGUCCUAAAGUUUGUUGGCGCUGCUAAUAUUUGUGAGUUGCCAGAUCCCCUUGGAGAAUUGAAGCACUUGAGGUAUUUGGAUGUCUCAAGGACUUCUAUCAAAGCACUGCCGAAGUCCGCAACCAAACUUUACAAUCUGCAAACAUUGAGGCUCUUGGGUUUACUGAGACUCACACUUCCAGAUGGAUUGGAAAUUUUGACAAGCUUGAAGCACUUGUAUUUUGGUAAAAAAGAACAUCAACUAGUUAAUAUUGGAAACCUAACUUGUCUUCAAACAUUACCCAUAUUUUUUGUGGGAUCAGAAAGGGGGCAUUCGAUUAAGGAGUUAGGAUCCCUAGACGAACUGCGUGGAGAAUUGAAGAUAUGCCAUCUUGAGGGUGUUAGAGACGAACAAGAGGCUAAAGGAGCAAAUCUGCACCGUAAAGAAAAAUUAUUCAAGGUGAUAUUUGAUUUUGGACGGUGUGAUAGUGGGAGUAGUGGUUAUAACAGUGAGGAAGUGAUGGAAGGUCUCCAACCACACUCAAAGUUGCAAAGCUUAACUGUUUCGCUUUACAGAGGUGAAAGCUUUCCCUCGUGGAUGUUAAGACCUGUUGGUGAUUCUAAUACUAAUCUGUUUUUGCUUAACAAUUUGAUGGAGCUGAAGUUUUUCUAUUGCAAGAACUGUGAAAGUCUUCCACCUCUGGGCCAAUUGCACAAUCUCCAGUAUCUUGAGUUGAUAAAGCUGACGAAAGUGAAACGCAUGGGUAAUGAAUUUUAUUGCAACGAAAGUGUUGAUGGUAUGAAUAAGGUGAUCAAGGUGUUUCCUGCAUUGAAAAAAUUCACCUUAAGGUUUAUGGACAGUCUAGAAGAAUGGACAGGAAUGGCGGAAACAAAGAUGAUCAUGUUUCCUUGCUUGGAGCGGCUGGAGAUUACGAGGUGUCCCUUGUUGAAAAGUGUUCCACUAACGGGACAAUGCUCAUCUCUUCAAAAGCUUCACAUUUCCAGUUGUGAAAAAUUAAGCAAGAUUGGAGAUGGAUUAUCUACCUCCACUUGUCUCAAAAAAUUACAUCUAGGCAAUUGUCCUGAUUUAAGUUCGAUCCCAAAUUUGGAAGGAUUUUCCUCUCUUCAAGAUCUGUCAGUUUGUGGGUGCCUCAAAUUGGAAGUUCUUCCAAUAACUGGAGGAUGUUCAUCUCUUGAAGAGCUGGAGAUUACGAGGUGUCCCUUGUUGAAAAGUGUUCCACUAACGGGACAAUGCUCAUCUCUUCAAAAGCUUCACAUUUGGGAUUGUGAAAAAUUAAGCAAGAUUGGAGAUGGAUUAUCUACCUCCACUUGUCUCAAAAAAUUACAUCUAGGCAAUUGUCCUGAUUUAAGUUCGAUCCCAAAUUUGGAAGGAUUUUCCUCUCUUCAAGAUCUGUCAGUUUGGGGGUGCCUCAAAUUGGAAGUUCUUCCAAUAACGGGACAAUGUUAUUCUCUUGAAAAGCUUCGCAUUUGCGAUUGUGAAAAAUUAAGCAAGAUUGGAGAUGGAUUAUCUACCUCCACUUGUCUCAAAAAAUUAAAUCUAAUCAUUUGUCCUGAUUUAAGUUCGAUCCCAAAUUUGGAAGGAUUUUCCUCUCUUCAAUAUCUGUCAGUUCGAUGUUGCAAGAAAUUGGAAGUUCUUCCAAUAACCGGAGGAUGUUCAUCUCUUGAAAAGCUUCGCAUUUCCAGUUGUGAAAAAUUAAGCAAGAUUGGAGAUGGAUUAUCUACCUCCACUUGUCUCAAAAAAUUAGAUCUAGUAGAUUGUCCUGAUUUAAGUUCGAUCCCAAAUUUGGAAGGAUUUUCCUCUCUUCAAGAUCUGUCAGUUUGGAGGUGCCUCAAAUUGGAAGUUCUUCCAAUAACCGGAGGAUGUUCAUCUCUUGAAGAGCUUUCCAUUUACAGUUGUGAAAAAUUAAGCAAGAUUGGAGAUGGAUUAUCUACCUCCACUUGUCUCAAAAAAUUAAAUCUAGCAGAUUGUCCUGAUUUAAGUUCGAUCCCAAAUUUGGAAGGAUUUUCCUCUCUUCAAUAUCUGUCAGUUCGAAGGUGCGACAAAUUGGAAGUUCUUCCAAUAACAGCACCACUGUCAUCGCUUAAAAAAAUGUUGAUAGGUGAUUGCCCUAAUUUGAGGCCCAUUCCAAGUUUAGAUGGACUCUCUUCUCUCACAGAAUUAGAAAUUGGGAAAGUAGGCGAAGGAUGGAGUCGUCUGCUACCAAAUAUGUUGCAAUCCAACGUUUCCCUUUGCAGUCUAACAAUAUUAAAUAUUCCUGAUCUGAUAUGGAUUCAAGAUGACAGCCUUGGUAGGCUUAACUGCUUGAGAGAAUUAGCUAUCGGUGGUUUCUCAGAAAAGCUACAAGAAUUCCCGGGGUCCAGUUCCAUUCGAUAUCUGAGUGCCUCCCUUCUAGUUCUAAAACUGACUGGUUGGGAAAAGCUAAAGAGUCUUCCUCACCAACUUCAGUUCUUGACUGCCCUCGAAGAAUUGACGAUAGAAGGGUUUCAAGGAGUAGAAGCCUUUCCAGAGUGGUUGGGAAAUCUCUCUUCUCUGAAGCGUCUAUAUUUGAGUGGUUUUGGAAAGCUAAAGAGUCUUCCUCACCAACUUCAUCUCCCCAGUACCCUUGAAGAGUUGACUAUUGACAAUUUUCAUGAAAUAGAAGCCUUGCCAGACUCGUUCAGAAAUCUCUCUUCUCUAGGGUGUCUGAGUAUCCAGUUCUGUGAUAAGCUCAUGUACUUGCCUUCUGUAGAUGUUAUGCGAAGCCUCUCCAAAUUAAUAAGAAUGAACAUUAAAGGGUGUCCUCUAUUAGAGACAAGAUGUGAGCGGGAGAGUGGCCCUGAAUGGUCCAAGAUUUCCCACAUUCCACAUGUAUAUAUUAAUCAUCGGAGGUAAGUUCAGUUACUUGAACCACAACUCUGCAUCUUUUGGCUUUUGAUAUAAAAUAUACUAAUCCUCUCUUGAUACUUUUUAUAGUUAUACCGUUUGUUCUUCUCAUCCUAAGUUACUUGAUUUUGUCUCAUAUAAAUCCUUCUUUUAAAAUUUUUUUGGCUUUUGUGGCAUAAUGUUGCAGGACUAAUUGGGGCAUCAAAUCUGUUAGAAAAUGGACUGCAAAGCAACAAACAAGUUGAUAUGCAACUUGGUUUCAUAAUGAUAGCUAUAAUGCUUUCAUCUUUUGCUUUCAUAAUGAUAGCCAAAUUUGGUGGAGUAGGUAGUAUUUGGUGAUGUAUUUGACUAUAAAUGUAUUGUUUUUCUAGUUGAAUGAAUGAGCUGAAUGAGCUAUCAGCCAUUAGCUCCCUUGCAGCACGUUUGUGAGCAAGUAAAUUGUUUUUGUUUCUUCCUCCUUUGUUCUUUGUCUUGUUUUCUUUCUUUUUGCUGCUGCCAAUGUAGGAUCAACAGUGCAAGCACUUUCGAAUCAAAGGCAUCACCCAGGAAGACUAGAAGAUGAAGAAUGCUGGUCCGUAAUUGAACAACUAGCAUUGACACCCUUUCCAAUGUCUCACGAAUUAGAGCUUAUUGGAAAGGAGAUUGCUAUGCAGUGUCGAGGUCUGCCAUUGUUAGCUAAAGUUAUUGGAGGGACAAUGCGCAAAGAAAGGAGCCACGGCACAUGGUUGGAAAUUCAAGAAAGUGGAGUAUGGGGUUCAGCGGACAGUGAGUCAGUGGAAAGUGUGUUAAAAUUAAGUUUUGAUCGCUUGCCUUCUCCAUCUUUGAAGAAGUGUUUUGCGUACUGUGCCAUGUUUCCGAAAGAUUAUUGCUUUGAAACAGAGGAAUUGAAGCAACUGUGGAUGGCUGAAGGAUUUCUUGGCAGCCCUAUGGCAAUGGUGGAUAUUGGUGACAAAUACUUGAAUGAGUUGUUAUCAAAUUCCUUAUUUCAAGAUGUCGAGAAGGACAAAUUCGGGAAUAUUCUCACAUUCAAGAUGCACGACUCGGUGCAUGAUCUAUCUUUGUCUGUGUCAAAGUUUGAUACUUUGUUUUUUCAAGAGAAAUCCAGUCUCACCUCAAAAGAGUGUUCUCAUAUUCGUCAUCUCAAUGUUGGGUGCGAUGGGGAAUCAUUACCAGAAAUUUUAACAGCGGUUGCUCCGAAAUUAUACUCGUUGUUUUCAG